CCUGGUUGAUCCUGCCAGUAGUCAUAUGCUUGUCUCAAAGAUUAAGCCAUGCAUGUCUAAGUAUAAACACGUUUGUACUGUAAAACUGCAGAUGGCUCAUUAUAACAGUAACAGUUUAUUUGGCAUGAGUUUAAACGGAUAACCGUAGUAACUCCACGGCUAAUACGUGCAAAACCUUUUUGGAGGUGCAUAUUAGUUCAAAACCAAUUUUGGUUGAAACAUAAUAUUUGUCAGAUCGCAAGAUUGACAGCGACGUGCCAUUCAAGUUUCUGCCCUAUCAGCUUUCGACGGUAGGUUAUUCGCCUACCGUGGCUUUGACGGGUAACGGGGAAUCAAGGUUCGAUUCCGGAGAGGCAGCCUGAGAAACGGCUACCACGUCCACGGAAGGCAGCAGGCGCGUAAAUUACCCAAUCCUGAUACAGGGAGGUAGUGACAAGAAAUAUCGAUCAGCAGCACUGUGUGUUGCUUAUUCGAAAUGACAACAACAUAAAUCCUUUAUGGAUAAACAAGCGGAGGGCAAGCCUGGUGCCAGCAGCCGCGGUAAUACCAGCUCCGCUAGCGUAUACUAAAAUUGUUGCUGUUAAAAAGCUCGUAGUUGGAUAUCAAUCUCGCCGUAACAAACCCAUGUUGUUUUAACAUGUGUGUUUAAUUUGCGUCAUACGCAAUAACGGCAGAUUAGUUUCAGGAAGACUGUCUGUUCAUUUAUUUGAAUGGGUUUUCUAGCCUGAUCAUUUACUUUGAAAAAAUUAGAGCGCUCAAAGCAGGCUUUUGCCUGAAUGCAUUAACACGGAAUAAUAAAAACGACUUUGGCUUGCCUAAUGGCGUUUUUGUUGGUUUUGAGCUGAGGUAAUGAUUGAUAGGAACGAUUGGGGGUGCUAGUAUCGCCGGGCCAGAGGUAAAAUUCUAUGAUUCCGGUGAGACUAACUUAUGCGAAAGCAUUCACCAAGGGCGUUUCCUUUAAUCAAGAGCUAAAGUUUGGUGAUCGAAGACGAUCAGAUACCGUCGUAGUCCAAACUAUAAACUAUGUCAACUUAGAGUUGGGGCCAAAUCUUCCUCAGAACUUAUGAGAAAUCAAAGUUUCUGGACUCAGGGGGAAGUAUGCUCGCAAGUGUUAAACUUAAAGGAAUUGACGGAAGGGCACCACAACAUGUGGAGCCUGCGGCUUAAUUUGACAAUACACGGGAAAACUUACCAGGUCCAGACAUAGUCAGGAUUGACAGAUUGAAGUUCUUUCAUGAUUCUAUGCAUGGUGGUGCAUGGCCGUUCUUAGUUCGUGGAGCGAUUCGUAUGGUUAAUUCCGAUAACGAACGAGACCUCACCCAUUUAAAUAGCCCUACACUUGAGCAUUAAACUGCUAAAAAGUGAGUGAGUUUUUCACACUGUGGCUUCUUAAAGGGACAAUUUGCGCAUAGUAAAUGGAAGCUUGAGGCAAUAACAGGUCAGUGAUGCCCUUAGAUGCUCUGGGCUGCACGCGCGCUACAAUGGUUCAUUCAACGAGUCUCCAAACUUGUAAAAGUGAGGAAAUCUCAAAAGUGAAUCGUAGUUGGAAUAGAUGAUUGCAAUUAUUCAUCUUAAACAAGGAAUAUCUUGUAAACGCAGGUCAUCAACUUGCAUUGAUUACGUCCCUGCCCUUUGUACACACCGCCCGUCGCUACUACCGAUUGAAUGGUCUAGUGAGGGCGUCGGACUGGCGCCCGGGGAGAGGUUCUCUUGUUGGAUCGCGUUUCGGCGUGUGAAGGCAGGGGGUUAACGCCUGUGCCCCGGGUCGACGGAAAGACGUCCGAGCUGGGUCAUUUAGAGGAAGUAAAAGUCGUAACAAGGUUUCCGUAGGUGAACCUUCGGAAG
rnacentral:rRNA from 1 species